rnacentral:rRNA from 1 species
CCUACGGGUGGCAGCAGUAAGGAAUAUUGGUCAAUGGAGGAAACUCUGAACCAGCCAUCCCGCGUGAAGGAUGAAGGGGCUCUGCCUUGUAAACUUCUUUUGUCUGGGGCGAAAAAGCUCGAUUUAUCGAGAACUGACGGUACCAGAAGAAUAAGCACCGGCUAACUCCGUGCCAGCAGCCGCGGUAAUACGGAGGGUGCAGGCGUUAUCCGGAGUCACGGGGGUGUAGGGGUCCGUGGAAGUCAGUGGAGAAGUGGUGUGGCUUAACCAUGGAAUUGCCAUUGAUACUGCAGAGCUUGAAUGAGGUUGAGGUUGGCGGAAUGUGACAUGUAGCGGUGAAAUGCUUAGAUAUGUCAUGGAACACCGAUUGCGAAGGCAGCUGACUGGACCUAUAUUGACGCUGAGGCACGAAAGCGUGGGGAGCGAACAGGAUUAGAUACCCGAGUAGUC